AUUGAACGCUGGCGGCAUGCUUUACACAUGCAAGUCGAACGGUAACAGGGUGCUUGCACCGCUGACGAGUGGCGAACGGGUGAGUAAUGCGUCGGAACGUGCCGAGUAGUGGGGGAUAACGCAGCGAAAGUCGUGCUAAUACCGCAUACGUACUGAGGUAGAAAGUGGGGGACCUUCGGGCCUCACGCUAUUCGAGCGGCCGACGUCUGAUUAGCUAGUAGGGGAGGUAAAGGCUCACCUAGGCGACGAUCAGUAGCGGGUCUGCGAGGAUGAUCCGCCACACUGGGACUGAGACACGGCCCAGACUCCUACGGGAGGCAGCAGUGGGGAAUUUUGGACAAUGGGCGAAAGCCUGAUCCAGCCAUGCCGCGUGUCUGAAGAAGGCCUUCGGGUUGUAAAGGACUUUUGUCAGGGAGGAAAUCCCUAGUGCUAAUAACACUGGGGGAUGACAGUACCUGAAGAAUAAGCACCGGCUAACUACGUGCCAGCCGCCGCAGUAA
rnacentral:rRNA from 1 species